rnacentral:rRNA from 1 species
AGCGAACGCUGGCGGCAGGCCUAACACAUGCAAGUCGAACGAACCUUUCGGGGUUAGUGGCGGACGGGUGAGUAACACGUGGGAACGUGCCUUUAGGUUCGGAAUAACUCAGGGAAACUUGUGCUAAUACCGAAUGUGCCCUUCGGGGGAAAGAUUUAUCGCCUUUAGAGCGGCCCGCGUCUGAUUAGCUAGUUGGUUGAGGUAAUGGCUCACCAAGGCGACGAUCAGUAGCUGGUCUGAGAGGAUGAUCAGCCACAUUGGGACUGAGACACGGCCCAAACUCCUACGGGAGGCAGCAGUGGGGAAUCGUGCGAAAUGGGCGAAAGCAUGACGCAGCCAUGCCGCGUGAAUGAUGAAGGUCUUAGGAUUGUAAAAUUCUUUCACCGGGGACGAUAAUGACGGUACCCGGAGAAGAAGCCCCGGCUAACUUCGUG